ensembl:lncRNA
CUAGCAUACGAAACAGCAAGGAAGCAUCACACUUAUGUAACAGAGUUCCAUUAGAGUGGCAGGUGACGUGACCUUGCUGCACAGACGGUGUUCUUACCUGCUCCGUGAAUCAUAUGGCUUUCCAUAUAGCCAGAGGACAUCACCUUUUAACAUGACGAUGUAAGAGGAUUCCCCAACUCAGCCAUCUGCUAGCAGAACGCACCCUUCUAUCUCACUGUGGUGGAGUCGCUGACGCAUGAAAGAAUCCUCCGGCGACAUGAGGCAAAGGAAUUCUGUUCAUUAUUUUGGAAAUGUCCUGCUGGUAUUUUCCAAGCAGAAACCCCCACCCACCCCCCGGUGGAGGGUUGAGUCAUAUGGGGUGCCAUCCAGAACGCCACCCCGUUACACCAUCAGCCGCGGUCUGCGUGGACGUAGGUCUUGUUUUCUCUUUGUUUUACUGCGCCGCC